GACGGCAGAGUCACCGACAACCUAACAAUCCCCUCGCCUUUUACUAGGGGAUUCCGUGGCGGUGGCUCACCGUAUGCCGUCUUACCAAUUUUUCAAGCAACACCUCCAUUGCGAGGCGU
rnacentral:snRNA from 1 species